UGACAAGAUUUCUGCGUAAAGAUUUUCCUUGGUCAAGAGUGCAACAUGAGCUGUCGAUAUGAACUUUACUGUCAGAUGAACAUUGGAAAUGGAACAUUGAAAUAUAAUUGGCAUAAAACAGAUGACUAAAAAUGAAUGAAGUUGAAGAAAGUUAAAAGGCACCCCUGAAGAACCUGAAUUAUUUUAGCCCUAUCCUAGAUUCAUUAAUUAAUAUAUUUUAGUGUGUGAUAACAUGUGUGAAAUGUGAUCAAUUAUGUGACAAUUUUCAAAACU